CCUACGGGAGGCAGCAGUAGGGAAUAUUGGGCAAUGGAGGCAACUCUGACCCAGCCAUGCCGCGUGAACGAAGAAGGCGCUAUGCGUCGUAAAGUUCUUUUAGAGGGGGCGAAAACACUUGAUUCAUCAAGUACUGACGGUACCUUCGGAAUAAGCACCGGCUAACUCUGUGCCAGCAGCCGCGGUAAUACAGAGGGUGCAAGCGUUAUCCGGAAUCACUGGGUUUAAAGGGUGCGUAGGCGGGAUUAUAAGUCAGAGGUGAAAUCUCGUCGCUUAACGACGGAAUUGCCUUUGAUACUGUUUUCUUGAAAUUUGUUGAGGUUGGCGGAAUGAGACAUGUAGCGGUGAAAUGCUUAGAUAUGUCUUAGAACACCGAUUGCGAAGGCAGCUGACUGGACAAUAUUUGACGCUGAGGCACGAAAGCGUGGGGAUCAAACAGGAUUAGAUACCCUGGUAGUCCACGACCUAACCGACUAGUUACUUAGUCUGUUUGUUUUCGUUAGUGUAGUGNGAGAGAAGAGAGAGUAACGACCGUAGGGAGGUACG
rnacentral:rRNA from 1 species